GAAUCUUUAGCUUAAUUAAAGUGUCUGUCUUGCAUGCAGAAUAUGUGGGUUUGAGUCCUGUAAGAUUUGUUGGAAUUGAAAGGUUUA
rnacentral:tRNA from 1 species